CUCCGGAGACCAUCCUGUUAACGCCCUGGCCAGGACUGGUCUCAGGCACGACUCUGACGCACGGUCACACAGGUCUCCUACUUGGCCCAGUCUCAGGAAUCCACCCCGGUGCAACGGUGGUGAUCACUGACGCAAGUGGCGGCUCGGGCCUCGCGCAUGCGCACUGGAGAGGCCGACUCUCCCCUCGCUCGGGAGAGGCAGGCUGCGGACCCUUUAAAAAAUGGCGGCGACACGGCAGGUUGCUGGGACCGGGGCGGCGGUGGCGGCGGUGGCGCGCUUGCGGCGGCGGGUGGGAAGAGGACUGCCAGAGGGGCCUGCGGGAGACCCAGGGUCGGACCAGUAGGAGUCCUGUCCUCAGGACCUCCUUGAUCGGUCUUCUGCUUCGGUUCCCGGUGGAGGAGGAGCUUCAGGGUGCCGGCUUGGCUGUGCGGACUCCUCUUCAGAUCCGACUAUGGAUCCCACCGGGUGAUCGGGAAUGGGGUUGCAAUGCAGUGAGGCGGGAAGGGUCUCGCUGGGGCACAGAAAGAUCCCCAGGGCCGCAAGGCGUGCUGUCGGCGGAAAAUGAACUGACCCACGAGCCCACUGCCUCCCUCCUUCCUGGGUGGAGCAGUGGCCUGCCUUCAUCUCCAAGGCCCGGGGGCUCGGGCAUCCCGACACUGCUUUCCACGACACAUGCAAAGACAGACAGAGGCGAGUCUGAGAUGGAGCCAGUGUGACCACCCGUGGCACUGACGUCGCCCAAGAGCGGAUGGAGUGAGCGGGUGUCUUUGAGGCCGUAGGGGGCGUGGCGAGACGGACAAUGAUGUCCAGCCGUGCGCCCGUGGGCCACGGGAGACCUCGGCCACAAAGCUGAAGAAAAGCCAAGCGCAGCUGAAAACUUGCGAGACAGGGCCUGCGACCGAAUCCAAGCCACAUUCAGGGAUGCCUGCCAGAGGGGCCGAGAGGUUUCCACAAAUUUCACCCCACUCCCACCCCCACCCUGCCACCGGGUACGUACCCGUGAUGCCACCUCCCCUGCACCCAGCAAAACCCAGUCCCUUUGGCUCCCUGACAUCCGUGGCAGCCAGAAGAUUCAGCGCUAGAAGCCUCUUUUCCCAGGAGCAGAGGAACCCGAUGGCCCUCAAGAAUCAGAGAGGAAGUGCAGGUGGCAUGCCACACUGCCUUUCCUAGAAGGCAAAUGUCAGGAAUGGUCGGGUUGCCUCCCGCUCUUCCUGGACGGACCACGCAGCCAUCACUUGGGCCACAGAGACCCAGAAAGCUUCCCUGUCCCAGACAGCUAUAGAAGCCCAGAGCUCCAGGAUCACCACACCUGCCCAAUCAUGCUUAAAGAGGUUUGGAGAGGGAAACAAUCAUGACACCGACCCCCAGGAACUUUCUCCCGGAUGGACUGGGAAGUCUUUUGGGUUGAAGACAUUGAGGCAGACCAAGAAGCCCCUAGGCUUCUCAGAAACAGGGCAGGCAGAGCAAGAGGGAGGACAGAGCAGAGGCCAGAGCCCAGGCAUGACUGGCGGCAAUCCCACAACCAGGGCCAUCCAGGGAGGAGUGCCAAAUGGGUGACUUUGCCUGGAAGGCCAGUGUCAGGCCUCUGAGCCCAAGCCAAUCCAUCGCAUCCCCUGUGACUUGAACAUAUACACCAGAUGGUCUGAAGUAACUGAAGAUCCACAAAAGACAUCAAAAUAGCCUUAACUGAUGACAUUCUACCAUUGUGAUUUGUUCCUUCCCCACCCUAUCUGAUCAAUGUACUUUGUAAUCUCCCCCACCCUUAAGAUGUUUCUUUGUAAUUCUCCCCACCCUUGAGAAUGUACUUUGUGAGAUCGACCCCUGUCCGCAAAACAUUGCUAUCAACUUCACCACCUAUCCCAAAACCUAUAAGAACUAAUGGUAAUCCAUCUCCCUUUGCUGACUCUCUUUUCAGACUCAGCCCACCUGCACCCAGUUGAAAUAAACAGCCAUGUUGCUCACACAAAGCCUGUUUGGUGGUCUCUUCACAUGGACGGGCAUGAAAUUUGGUGCCGUGACUCGGAUCGGGGGACCUCCCUUAGGAGAUCAAUCCCCCAUCCUCCUGCUCUUUGCUCCGUGAGAGAGAUCCACCUAUGAGCUCAGGUCCUCAGACUCACCAGCCCAAGAAACAUCUCACCAAUUUCACUUCCGGAACCCACUGGAAAUCGGACUGUUCAACUCACCUGGCAGCCACUCCCAGAGCCCCUGGAACUCUGGCCCAAAGCUCUCUGACUGACUCCUUGGCUUAGCGGCUGAAGAUUGAUGCUGCCUGAUCUCCUCGGAAGCCCCGUAGACCAUCACAGACGCCGAGAUUUUGGUAACUCUCACAGUGGAGGGUAAGUCCGUCCCCUUCUUAAUCAAUACGGAGGCUACCCACUCCACAUUACUUUCUUUUCAAAGGCCUGUUUCCCUUGCCUCCAUAACUGUUGUAGGUAUUGACAGCCAGGCUUCUAAACCUCUUAAAACUCCCCAGCUCUGGUGCCAACUUAGACAAUAUUCUUUUAUGCACUCUUUUUUAGUUAUCCCCCUCUGCCCAGUUCCCUUAUUAGGCCGAGAUAUUUUAACAAAAUUAUCUGCUUCCCUGACUAUUCCUGGACUACAGCUGCAUCUCAUUGCCGCCCUUCUUCCCAAUCCAAAGCCUCCUUUGCAUCCUCCUCUUGUAUCCCCCCACCUUAACCCACAAGUAUAAGAUACCCCUACUCCCUCCUUGGUGACCGAUCAUGCACCCCUUACCAUCUCAUUAAAACCUAAUCACCCUUUUACCCCACUCAAUGUCAAGAUCCCAUCCCACAGCAUGCUUUGAAAGGAUUAAAGCCUGUUAUCACUCACCUGCUACAGCAUGGCCUUUUAAAGCCUAUAAACUCUCCUUACAAUUCCCCCAUUUUACCUGUCCUAAAACCAGACAAGGCUUACAAGUUAGUCCAGAAUCUGCGCCUUAUCAACCAAAUUGUUUUGCCUAUCCACCCCAUGGUGCCAAACCCAUGUACUCUCCUGUCCUCAGUACCUCCCUCUGCUACCCAUUAUUCUGUUCUGGAUCUCAAACAUGCUUUCUUUCCUAUUCCUUUGCACCCGUCAUCCCAGCCUCUCUUCCCUUUCACUUGGACUUACCCUGACACCCAUCAGGCUCAGCAAAUUACCUGGGCUGUACUGCCGCAAGGCUUCACAGACAGACCCCAUUACUUCAGUCAAGCCCAAAUUUCAUCCUCAUCUGUUACCUAUCUCAGCAUAAUUCUCGGAAAAACACACGUGCUCUCUCUGCUGAUCGUGUCCAGUUAAUCUCCCCAAACCUCAAUCCCUUACAAAACAACAACUCCUUUCCUUCCUAGGCAUGGUUUGUGUGUCAGAAUUCUUACACAAGAGCCAGGACUGCACCCUGUAGCCUUUCUGUCCAAACAACUUGACCUUACUGUUUUAGCCUAGCCCUCAUGUCUGUGUGCAGCGGCUGCCACUGCUUUAAUACUUUUAGAGGCCCUCAAAAUCACAAACUAUGCUCAACUCACUCUCUACAUUUCUCAUAACUUCCAAAAUCUAUUUUCUUCCUCAUACCUGAUGCAUAUACUUUCUGCUCCCUGACUCCUUCAGCUGUACUCACUCUUUGUUAAGUCCCACAAUUACCAUUGUUCCUGGCACAGACUUCAAUCCAGCCUCCCACAUUAUUCCUGAUACCACACCUGACCCCCAUGACUAUCUCUCUCAUCCACCUGACAUUCAUCCCAUUUCCCCAUAUUUCCUUCUUUCCUGUUCCUGACCCUGAUCACACUUGAUUUAUUGAUGGCAGUUCCACCAGGCCUAAUCGCCACACACCAGCAAAGGCAGGCUAUGCUAUAGUACAAGCCACUAUCCCUCCUCUUAGAACCUCUCGUUUCCUUUCCAUUGUGGAAAUCUAUCCCCAAGGAAAUAACUUCUCAGUGUUCCAUCUGCUAUUCUACUACUCCUCAGGAAUUAUUCAGGCCCCCUCCUUUCCCUACACAUCAAGCUUGAAGAUUUGCCCCCACCCAGGACUGGCAAAUUAGCUUUACUCAACAUGCCCCAAGUCAGAUAACUAAAAUACCUCUUAGUCUAAGUAGACACUUUCACUAGAUAAGUAGAGGCCUUUCCUACAGGGUCUGAGAAGGCCACCACAGUCAUUUCUUCCCUUCUGUCAGACAUAAUUCCUCAGUUUAGCCUUCCCACCUCAAUACAGUCUGGUAACAGACCAGCCUUUAGUAGUCAAAUCAGCCAAGCAGUUUUUCAGGCUCUUAGUAUUCAGUAAAACUUUUAUAUCCCUUAUGGUCCUCUGUCUUCAAGAAAAGUAGAACUGACUAAAGGUCUUUUAAAAACACACCUCACCAAGCUCAGCCACCAACUUAAAAAGGACUGGAAAGUACUUUUACCACUUUCCCUUCUCAGAAGUCAGACCUGUCGUCAGAAUGCUGCAAGGUGCAGCGCAUUUAAGCUCCUGUAUAGACGCUCCUUUUUAUUAGGCCCCAGUCUCAUUUGACACCAGACCAACUUAGACUGUGCCCCAAAAAAACUUGCCAUCCCUACUAUCUUCUCUCUAGUCAUACUCCUAUUCACCGUUCUCAACUACUCAUACAUGCCCUGUUCUUGUUUACACUGCCAGUUUACACUGUUUCUCCAAGCCAUCACAGCUGAUAUCUCCUGGUGCCAUCCCCAAACUGCCACUCUAAACUCUUGAAGUAAAUAAAUAAUCUUUGCUGGCAGGACUAUGCUGAAUCUCCUUAGGCACUCUCUAAUCAGAUGUCCUAGGUCCUCCCAAUUCUUAGACCUUUUAUACCUGUUUUUCUCCUUCUCUUUUUCCAUUUAGUUUCUCAAUCCAUCCAAAACCGUAUGCAGGUCAUCACCAAUAAUUCUAUAUGACAAAUGUUUCUUCUAACAUCCCCACAAUAUCACCCCUUUCCACAAGAUCUCCCUUCAGCUUAAUCUCUCCCACUCUAGCUUCCCACGCCACCCCAAUCCCGCUUGAAGCAGCCCUGAGAAACAUCGCCCAUUCUCUCUUCAUACCACCCCCCAAAAAUUUUCACCGCCCCAAUACUUCAACACUAUUUUAUUUUUCUUAUUAAUAUAAGAAGGCAGGAAUGUCCAGCCUCUGAGCCCAAGCCAAGCCAUCGCAUCUCCUGUGACUUGCACGUAUACACCCAGAUGGCCUGAAGUAACUGAAGAUCCACAAAAGAAGUCAAAAUAGCUUUAAGUGAUUACAUUCCAUCAUUGUGAUUUGUUCCUGCCCCACCCUAACUGAUCAAUGUACUCCGUAAUAUCCCCCACCCUUAAGAAGGCUCUUUGAAAUUCUUCCCACCCUUGAGAAUAUACUUUGUGAGAUCCACCCCUGCCCGCAAAACAUGGCUCUUAACUUCACCGCCUAACCCAAAACCUACAAGAACUAAUGAUAAUCCAUCUCCCUUCAUUGACUCUCUUUUCGGACUCAGCCGGCGUGCACCGAGGUGAAAUAAACAGCCAUGUUGCUCACACAAA